rnacentral:rRNA from 1 species
GGGCCUACGGGAGGCAGCAGUAGGGAAUCUUCCACAAUGGACGAAAGUCUGAUGGAGCAACGCCGCGUGAGUGAAGAAGGGUUUCGGCUCGUAAAGCUCUGUUGGUAGUGAAGAAAGAUAGAGGGAGUAACUGGCCUUUAUUUGACGGUAAUUAAUUAGAAAGUCACGGCUAACUACGUGCCAGCAGCCGCGGUAAUACGUAAGGGGCAAGCGGUGUCCGGAUUUAUUGGGCGUAAAGCGAGUGCAGGCGG